CUUCUUCGAUCUGCUGCGGGCAGAUGAAGUGGAUGUGCGUAUCGACGCCGCCGGCGGUAAGGAUCAUGCCUUCGCCGGCAAUGACUUCGGUGGCUGCGCCCACGGCAAUGGUCACGUCCGGCUGAAUGUCCGGGUUACCGGCCUUGCCGAUGGCUGCGAUACGGCCGUUCUUGAUGCCGACGUCAGCCUUGACGAUGCCCCAGUGGUCGAUGAUCAAGGCGUUGGUGAUCAGCGUAUCAACCACGUCGGCGGCCAGCAGUUGACCCUGGCCCAUGCCGUCACGGAUG
rfam:Pseudomonas syringae pv. tomato str. DC3000, complete genome.